UUAUGUCUUGACGAGUAAGAGGGUCGCGGCGGUGAGCGCAGAAGGGUCAGGGCGAGAGCCUGCCUGGAGCCGCCGUCGGUGCAGAUCUUGGUGGUAGUAGCAAAUACUCUAGCGAGGGCCUGGAGGACUGACGUGGAGAAGGGUUUCUUGUGAACAGCCGUUGCACAAGAGUCAGUCGACCCUGAGCCCUAGGAGAAAUCCAAUGUCGAUGGGUAGCUUGACACAAACACAAACAUUGCUGCUGCUGUGUGUCAAGUUGUUGCUGCUGCUGAAUGUGCUGCUCUAUUUAUAGACCACAUACACACACAAUGACUGACGACAACAACACAGGCAUGCGCAUAAUAAUGAUGUUGUCACCUAAAUAGCUCCUGUCGGGCAAAAGGGAAUCCGGUUCCUAUUCCGGAACCCGGCUGCGUAACCGCACUUUGCGGGCACUUGCUUGCGAGCGCUCGUCGGGGUAACCCAAGCUGGCCUGGAGACGCCGGCGGGGGGUCUGGAAAGAGUUUUCUUUUCUUUAUAAGCGUUCGAGUACCCUGGAAUCCUAUAGCAGGGAGAUAGGGUUUGGAACGCGAAGAGCACCGCAGUUGCGGCGGUGUCCGGACCUUCCCCCCGGACCUUGAAAAUCCAGGUGAGGGCCACGCGGAAGUCGCGCCGG
rnacentral:rRNA from 1 species